rnacentral:sRNA from 1 species
GCCGGGCAUUGUGGCGGGCGCCUGUGGUCCCAGCUACUUGGGAGGCGGAGGCAGGAGACUCGCUUGAGCUCAGGAGUUGGAGGUUGCUGUGAGCUGUAAUGCCACGGCACUCUGCCCAGGGGGACAGCUUGAGGCUCUGUCUCAAAAAAAAAAAAAAAAAAAAGAAAUGAUAUCUAUAAUCUCUCUCUUUUUUUUAAAGACAGAAUCUCAAGCUGUCACCCUGGGUAGAGUGUCGUGGUAUCAUAGCUCACAGCAACCUCAAACUCGGGCUCAAGCGAUCCUCUUGC